rnacentral:rRNA from 1 species
UUCUGACCGUAAACGAUGCCAACUAGCGAUCCGCCGGUGGAUAUUUUGCCCUGGUGGGUAGCUUCCCGGAAACGAAAGUCUUCCGGUUCCGGGGGAAGUAUGGUUGCAAAGCUGAAACUUAAAGGAAUUGACGGAAGGGCACCACCAGGAGUGGAGCCUGCGGCUUAAUUUGACUCAACACGGGGAAACUCACCCGGCCCGGACACCGUAAGGAUUGACAGAUUGAUAGCUCUUUCAUGAUUCGGUGGUUGGUGGUGCAUGGCCGUUCUUAGUUCGUGGAUUGAUUUGUCUGGUUUAUUCCGAUAACGAGCGAGACUCUAGCCUACUAAAUAGUAACGGGAUUAUCAUUGUCCCGGUUGCUUCUUAGAGGGAUUUUCGGUGUUUAGCCGCACGAGAUUGAGCAAUAACAGGUCUGUGAUGCCCUUAGAUGUCCGGGGCUGCACGCGCGCUACACUGGCGAAAUCAGCGUGCUUUAACCAUUCUCGAAAGGGAUUGGUAAACCCAUGAAAAUUUGCCGUGCUUGGGAUCGGAAAUUGCAAUUAUUUUCCGUGAACGAGGAAUUCCAAGUAAGUGCGAGUCAUCAACUCGCUCUG